rnacentral:rRNA from 1 species
UACGUAGGUGUCAAGCGUUGUCCGGAUUUAUUGGGCGUAAAGCGCCCGCAGGCGGCUUGCCAAGUUCGAUGUGAAAUCUCCCGGCUCAACUGGGAGGGUGCAUCGAAAACUGGCAGGCUUGAGGCAGGGAGAGGGAUGUGGAAUUCCAGGUGUAGUGGUGAAAUGCGUAGAUACUGGGAGGAACACCGGUGGCGAAGGCGGCUACCUGGACCGGUUCUGACGCUGAUGCGCGAAAGCGUGGGUAGCAAACAGG